GCCGGGCGUGGUGGCGCACGCCUUUAAUCCCAGCACUCAGGAGGCAGAGGCAGGUGGAUUUCUGAGUUCGAGGCCAGCCUGGUCUACAAAGUGAGUUCCAGGACAGCCAGGGCUAUAGAGAAACCCUGUCUCGAAAAAGCCAAAAAAAAAAAAAAAAGAAUCUUGAAAUGUCUUCUUUUUUUUUCACCCCCGAGACAGGGUUUCUCUGUAUAGUCAUGGCUGUCCUGGAACUCACUCUGUAGACCAGGCUGGCCUUGAACUCAGGAAUCCGCUGCCUUU
rfam:Mus musculus chromosome 16, GRC primary reference assembly.